UACGGGGGGGCAAGCGUUGUUCGGAAUUACUGGGCGUAAAGGGCUCGUAGGCGGCCAACUAAGUCAUACGUGAAAUCCCUCGGCUUAACCGGGGAACUGCGUCUGAUACUGGAUGGCUUGAGUUCGGGAGAGGGAUGCGGAAUUCCAGGUGUAGCGGUGAAAUGCGUAGAUAUCUGGAGGAACACCGAUGGCGAAGGCAGCUCGCUGGGACGGUACUGACGCUGAGGCGCGAAAGCGUGGGGA
rnacentral:rRNA from 1 species